CACCAGUCCAUUACAGGAGUUUUAUGCCAAGGUGACAAGUUUUUACCAGCAUGAAAUUGGAAUAUUGGACUGCUGAACCAGACCUGAGAACAGUGGAACCAAAGGUGACAUCAUCCUUGACCCUCCAAGAGGCAGAAAACGGUGUUCAGUAUGACCAACAUUCUCCUACAUUUCAAUGGAGGGUGACUGGAUUUCAUCUGCUGCACCCAAGUGUUCACUUCUUCUAUUUUUAGCAAGCUUGAAAAUAAUUUAAAUUAAUAGUAUUAUUUUUAUCACAAUGGCUCCCCUUCUCUGUUAAGAUCCUCAAACAAUU
rnacentral:lncRNA from 1 species